UACGUAGGGACCAAGCGUUGUUCGGAUUUACUGGGCGUAAAGGGCGCGUAGGCGGCGCGGUAAGUCACUUGUGAAAUCUCUGAGCUUAACUCAGAACGGCCAAGUGAUACUGCAGUGCUAGAGUGUGGAAGGGGCAAUCGGAAUUCUUGGUGUAGCAGUGAAAUGCGUAGAUAUCGUGAGGAAUACCAGAGGCGAAGGCGGCUACCUGGACAAUUGCUGACGCUCAGGCACGAAAGCGUGGGGAUCAAACAGG
rnacentral:rRNA from 1 species